UGUCUUCACAUCGUAAUAGCCAAUGCUUUUAAAUUUACAUAUUUUAGAAUCAGUUCCUUUCCUGGUAACUGCAUUUCUAAAUGAAAUCAUCGUGAGUAGUGAGUGCUGAGCAGGCUGUUUUACUAUAAACAAAUUUUAGGAAUUGUUAUUAAUUAAACAACUUUGAAAAAUAUAUCGUUGCACAUUCGGUCACAGUCGGAA